ensembl:miRNA
UAGGUUGGUGCAAAAGUAAUUGUGGUUUUUGCCAUUAAAGUAAGGCAAAAACUGCAAUUACUUUUCCACCAACCUAAUA